UUGGCGGCAAGAUAGCCCCUUAGAGGAACCUGCCCUAUAAACGAUGAACCACGAAAAACUCUACUUUUUUUAGUGAACAGUUUGUAUAUCGCUGUUGUCAGUUAGAUUCUUGAGAAUAUUUUCAUUCAUGAUAAAUUCAUCGACUUCAAGUAAAGGUGCAGCUUAUAAAAAAGAUAGAGGUGGGUUACAUUUAUAAGAAUAAUACGGAUAAGAUUUAUGAAAUAAUCUUUGAAGGUGGAUUUAACUGUAAAACUUAAGGAAGUUUGAUGAGAGCUCUAUCUUGUGUACACA
rnacentral:rRNA from 1 species